rnacentral:rRNA from 1 species
AACGAACGCUGGCGGCAGGCCUAACACAUGCAAGUCGAACGCACCGCAAGGUGAGUGGCGCACGGGUGAGUAACACGUGGGAAUGUACCCUUUGGUUCGGAAUAACGUUUGGAAACGAACGCUAAUACCGGAUGAGCCCUGCGGGGGAAAGAUUUAUCGCCAAAGGAGCAGCCCGCGUCUGAUUAGCUAGUUGGUGGGGUAAAGGCCUACCAAGGCGACGAUCAGUAGCUGGUCUGAGAGGAUGAUCAGCCUCACUGGGACUGAGACACGGCCCAGACUCCUACGGGAGGCAGCAGUGGGGAAUAUUGGACAAUGGGCGCAAGCCUGAUCCAGCCAUGCCGCGUGAGUGAUGAAGGCCUUCGGGUUGUAAAGACUCUUUCGCACGCGACGAUGAUGACGGUAGCGUGAGAAGAAGCCCCGGCUAACUUCGUGCCAGCAGCCGCGGUAAU